rnacentral:rRNA from 1 species
CCCGAGGCUUGUCCAAGGGCAUUUCCGCUAGAGCGUC